rnacentral:tRNA from 1 species
UGGGUUGUGGCUCAGUGGUAGAGCGUUCGCCUAGCAUGCGUGAGGCACUGGGUUAGAUCCUCAGCACCACAA